rnacentral:rRNA from 2 species
CGCACCACUGGUGUUCGGGUUGUCAUGCCAAUGGCAUUGCCCGGUAGCUAAGUGCGGAAAAGAUAAGCGCUGAAAGCAUCUAAGCGCGAAACUUGCCUCAAGAUGAGUCUUCCCUGGGCCUUUAAGGCCCCUGAAGGAACGUUUAAGACUAAGACGUUGAUAGGCUGGGUGUGUAAGUGCAGCGAUGCAUUGAGCUAACCAGUACUAAUGAUCCGUGAGGCUUAACCUUACAACACCGAAGGUGUUU